rnacentral:rRNA from 1 species
UACAGAGGGUGCGAGCGUUGUUCGGAAUCACUGGGCGUAAAGCGCGCGCAGGCGGCCCUUUAAGUCUGCCGGUCAAAUGCCGGGGCUCAACCCCGAGCUCGCCGGAGAUACUGGAGGGCUGGAGACACGUAGAGGCAAGCGGAAUUCCGGGUGUAGCGGUGGAAUGCGUAGAGAUCCGGAAGAACACCGGAGGCGAAGGCGGCUUGCUGGGCGUGAUCUGACGCUGAGGCGCGAAAGCGUGGGGAGCGAACAGG